CGUAGCCGACCUGAGAGGGUGAUCGGCCACACUGGAACUGAGACACGGUCCAGACUCCUACGGGAGGCAGCAGUAGGGAAUCUUCCGCAAUGGGCGAAAGCCUGACGGAGCAACGCCGCGUGAGUGAUGAAGGUCUUCGGAUCGUAAAACUCUGUUGUUAGGGAAGAACAAAUUUGUUAGUAACUGAACAAGUCUUGACGGUACCUAACCAGAAAGCCACGGCUAACUACGUGCCAGCAGCCGCGGUAAUACGUAGGUGGCAAGCGUUAUCCGGAAUUAUUGGGCGUAAAGCGCGCGUAGGCGGUUUCUUAAGUCUGAUGUGAAAGCCCACGGCUCAACCGUGGAGGGUCAUUGGAGACUGGGAAACUUGAGUGCAGAAGAGGAGAGUGGAAUUCCAUGUGUAGCGGUGAAAUGCGCAGAGAUAUGGAGGAACACCAGUGGCGAAGGCGGCUCUCUGGUCUGUAACUGACGCUGAUGUGCCAAAGCGUGGGGAUCAAACAGGAUUAGAUACCCUGGUACCCCACGCCGUAAACGAUUAGUGCUCACUGUUAAGGGGUUUCCGCCCCUUACUGCUGCAGCUAACGCAUUAAGCACUCCGCCUGCGGAGUACGACCGCCC
rnacentral:rRNA from 1 species